UCAGAGUUGAGCUGGGGGAGGCUUCAGAGGCUCUGCAUGCCCAGGAGGCUUCUCUGAGACUGGGAAGGAGUGGAAACUCAGUAGCCCGUGGUCCUGGUUGCGCGCUCCCUCCCAUGUCUUCAUUAUCUGAUUUGGUAAAAUAUCUACAAGACGGGGGAGUCCGGGCUGCUUUCUUUGACACUGGUCAUCACUCCACACCUAGACGCUAUGUCCAUGUCUGGAAGAUGCUUUUAAGGAAGUUUUGAUGCAGAGAAGAGUGGCCGGUGCUCUUCCUCGCGUGCCACCAUCUGCUUACUUCCAGAAGCUAAUUAUUUUCAUGUGACUGAUGUGACUAAUAUUUUUUAACGCCUGCAGCCCACUUGAAGGCAUCCUUACCUGGACACUGGUGACAUGCCCACAAACCCUGGGAGAGGCAUUUUGACGGUUCUGAAAACAGCCAGUUACUUCCCAAGAGUUGCACAGAGAAGCCUGCACACUUCCAUCUGGAUAUUUAGUUACCCUCUUGGAAACAGUCUCCACUCCACCCAUCACAUUCUACCUCCAAGGACUGGAACACAGACUUAUUCCCACCUCCCCGCUUCUGGGCUCUUGGCUGGCCCCAGGUCUCUGACAAUCCUCCCUUGGGGCCAGAGGUACUCAAGGAUGCCAAGAGGGAUAUUGAGUUCACACACACACACACACAAGGUGCAAAAAAACCCCUUGGGUAUUGGCCUAACCAAUAAACACUUUUCUUUGGUUAAUCAUUGCUAUUAUCAAAAAAUCUUAAUAUAAAAAUCUAGGCUAUACAAAGAAAAUUACUCAAAUACAAAUGUUGUUCACAUUGUAAAUUUGCAUUCUACUACUUUUUUCAAGUUGUUUUUGCUUAAAAAUAUGUGUAAUCACAAGUUGAGAUAGUUUAUGUCCAUUUCUGUGGUUAUUUUACCUACACCUCCCAGUCUAUCAUUGAUGGGCAUUUGGGUUGGUUCAUGUCUUUGCUGUUUUAAAUAGUGCUGCAAAUAGAUUUAUAUUCCUUUGGGUAUAUACCUAGUAAUGGGAUUCCUGAGUCAAAAGGUAUUUCUGGUUCUAGAUCCCUGAGGAAUUGCCACACUGUCUUCCACAAUGGUUGAGCUAAUUUACAUUCCCACUAACAGUGUAAAAGCAUUCCUAUUUCUCCACAGCCUCGCCAGCCAUCUAUUGUUUGACUUUAGAACUGUCUAUUCAUGUCUUUGCCUAUUUUUAAUUUUACUUUAAGUUCCAGGAUACAAGUGCAAAAUGUAUAGGUUACAUAGGUAUACACGUGUCAUGGUGGUUUGCUGCACCCUAUCCACCCAUCACCUAGGUUUUUAGCCCUGCAUGCAUUAGUCGUUUGUCCUAGUGGUCUCCCUCUCCUCACCCCACACCCUCCAACUGGCCCUGGUGUGUGUUCUUCCCCUCCCAGUGUGUCCAUGUGUUCUCAUUGUUCGACUCUUACUUAUGAGUGAGAUGAGGUACUUUUCUGUUCCUGUGUUAGUUUGCUGAGGAUGAUGGCUUCCAGCUUCAUCCCAUGUCCCUGCAAGGACAUGAUCUCAUUCCUUUUAUGGGUGCAUAGUAUUCCAUGGUGUACAUGUACCACAUUUUCUUUAUGCAGGCUAUCAUUCUUGGUGUUUCUGUGGGAUGUUUUAAAAAUAAACUAACAUUUGUAUUGGCAGACUGAGUAAAGCAGAUUGCUCUCUAAUGUGGGUAGACCUCAUCCAAUGAGCUGAAGGCCUAACUACACAAAAAGGCUGACCCUCCCUGAUCAGAGAACCCUUAUUACCUGACAGCCUUCAAACAGGAACAUCAGCUUUUUUCCUUCCUUGGAACUCAAACUGAAACACUGACUAUUCCUGGGUCUCAAGCCUGUUGGUCUUCAGACUAGAACUAAAUUAUUGACUGUCCUAGGUCUUGAGUUUGACAACUCAUCCUGUGGAAGUUAGGAUUUGUCAGCCUCCAUAAUUAUGUUAGCCAAUUCUUUUAUAUUUUUAUAUACACUCAUCCUGUUGAUUCUGUUUCUCUGCAGAACCCUGACUAGUACGAUGAACUUCAGUUAUUUAACAUUAAUGAUGGAAUCAAUUUCACUAAUUUUUGUGAGAUUUAAAUAGCUAUAUAUGUCAGACUUUUAAAGUAGUAUAAUUUAUUGUCAUUAAUUGCUUUCGUACUUCUAUGUUAAAUAUCCUAGAGAAGUCACAUCAACUGAGAAUUCCAAAGUUAAGAUUUGACUUAAAUUGAGAUAGCUGGCAUCAUCUUAUCUUCCCUGAAAUUAAUAUGUUUGUCUCAAGUUGUAAUAUGAGAGAACAAAUGGCAUUAGGUAUACUGUGUGUGGAAAAGUUGUUCUCUUUCCCCAAUAUACUAUGUUCAUGCUACAAUGUGAGUCUUGGGGUGAAGCCAAAAGUUGAGUUGUGUAGCAAGGAUGAAAGAGCACCCCCAAGAUAUACUUGCAAUCUAGAAUUUGAGGGGAUGCAAGGGUAUUGAGAGAUGUUUGUUUCUAGUCACAAUGGCCACUUCGAGGUUCUUUGGGGACAGGGUUUCUGAUACCUCAUAGGUUGCUUUUCUGUGUGAUAUUCCGGGGCAAGAAACUCGUGAACUGUGCUUUCUUGUUGUCACUUCUCCCUGUGUUUGCAGAGUAAUCCCCAGAAUUCUAAUAUAUUCCAAUUUUCCAAUGCAAGAUGGGUACAAAGAUGACUAAAUCAAUAUGAACAAGGAAAGAAAGUUCAGAAUCCAGAAGAAUUAGACAUUCCGGGAUACCUCUUCAGCCUCAGGACCUGGACAGUAAUAGGUCAGCUCAGUCUGGUUAGGAUUAAAAAAAUAAUGUUUAACCAGUCCUGUCUUUAUCUUUAAGGGUAUGUGAUCUGUAGCCAUGUUGUUUGAAGUUUUGACUUUUUAUUUUUAAAAAUAAGUUUAGAGCAGAUUAAAGAACAAAAAACAAGACCCAA
rnacentral:lncRNA from 10 species